rnacentral:rRNA from 1 species
CCUACGGGUGGCAGCAGUGGGGGAUAUUGCACAAUGGGGGGAACCCUGAUGCAGCGACGCCGCGUGGGUGAAGAAGCGUUUCGGCGCGUAAAGCCCUAUCUGCAGGGAAGAAGGAGGACGGUACCUGACUAAGAAGCCCCGGCUAACUACGAGCCAGCAGGCGCGGUAAUACGUAGGGGGCAAGCGUUAACCGGAGUUACUGGGUGUAAAGGGGGCGCAGACGGCAGCGCAAGGCAGGAGUGAAAGCCCGGGGCCUAACCCCGGGACUGCUGUUGAAACUGCGCGGCUGGAGUGCAGGAGGGGCAUGCGGAAUUCCUGGUGUAGCGGUGAAAUGCGUAGAUAUCAGGAGGAACACCGGUGGCGAAGGCAGCCUGCUGGCGUGCGACUGACGUUGAGGCCCGAAAGCGUGGGGAGCAAACAGGAUUAGAUACCCGGGUAGUC